rnacentral:lncRNA from 1 species
UAGCUGUUGGGAGUGCACCUAGGUUGGCACGCAGCCUCCAGCAGAGGAGCCCAUUUGGUGUGGAAUCCUAUGCUCACCAACAACUAACUCAAGGCUGGCUCUGAAUGGCUUACAUGAACUUCUGAGAACUGUCAGGAAAAAAAAGGCAACAAGGCACGUUUUCAAAAACAGAAGGAAAACUUCGUCCGAGGAGAGAAGUAGAUUUUGGAAGCACUUUACACAAGUAGCUGCAUCUACAAAUAGG